rnacentral:rRNA from 1 species
UACGAAGGGUGCAAACGUUGCUCGGAAUUAUUGGGCGUAAAGCGCACGUAGGCGGUAUUGCAAGUCGGAUGUGAAAUCCCUCGGCUUAACCAAGGAAGUGCAUCCGGAACUGCUGUACUUGAGUACGAAAGAGGAUCGCGGAAUUCCCGGUGUAGAGGUGAAAUUCGUAGAUAUCAGGAGGAACACCGGUGGCGAAGGCGGGUCUCUGGGCCGUAACUGACGCUGAGGAGCGAAAGCGUGGGGAGCGAACAGG